UGUGAAUCCUGCCCACUUCUUUGCAUGGUCAGCACAUGCUUCAGUGCUCUGAGAGUGUUUAUAGAGCUGUGAGUUUAACACUUCAUGACUGAGAGCAGAACAGAACACAAUCUUCAUCAUCACACAAGACACAACAACAACAAUGAACAACAUCAUCAUCCUCAUCUGGACCACUGCAACUUUUAUUCAAGAAUCCAGAGGAAUCACUGUGACUCAGCCUCAAGUUAAAACUGUCCAGCUCGGUCAAACAGUUACAAUAGAGUGUAAUACAGAUCCAGGAAUAUACUAUAGCAACUUAUACUGGUAUCAGCAGAAACCUGGAGAAACUCCUAAACUCCUCAUAUAUCUAAUAAACAGCCUCCAGUCAGGAACUCCAUCUAGAUUCAGUGGCAGUGGAUCUAGCCAAGGAAAAGAUUUCUCUCUGACCAUCAGUGGAGUCCAGACUGAAGAUACAGGAGAUUAUUACUGUCAGAGUUACCACUGGAUCAACAGUAAACAUGUGUUCACACAGUGAUAAAGAGUCGUACAAAAACCUCCGUCAGUCAGAGUCACAGUGACUGCACUGAUACAGCUGAGAGACACUGCAGCUUGAGGAGAUACAGUUUGUAACAAACAGCAGUUUCAUCACAAUACAAUAUAACAUCGAUUCUUGUUUUUUUUUUAUAUGAUUUGACAUUUGCUAUUAUAGCAAAACAUGCCACAAUAAGAUUAUGAUUUGAUUAAUACAUACUAUAAUAAAGCCAUAUAUAAGAAGAUGACAUCCCUCAACUAAUGUUUCCUUCUGAUAUUUUUGAACAUCAGAAAACAAAUCAC